UUAUCUACAAUGAUAGAGCGAGUAAAUAAAGAUGAGACUUUACAGAGAAAAAAUCCCAGGCUGAGAGAUUUUGUGUUUAAAUUUAUUGAAGUUCCCUCUGGAGUUUUAGCUGUGAACCGCAUCAACCAAUUUUGAUGAUUGAUAGCAGCUAACGUUAAUUGCGUUAAAAUUUUAAGUGAAUACAAUUAUGUAUUAAUUUAAGGUGGUACCGCGGAAUGAUUUCGUCCUUUUG
rnacentral:ncRNA from 1 species